CUCACGACUAUAUAAAUCGGCUCUCUGUCACAGAGAGAUGCAAAAUUAAUUUCGUGUCAUCAAACUUUUAGCUGUGUUGUUGUUUUGCUGUGCCCGGCUGCUCUUCACCAACGGUUGUAACAGGUCAAGCUCAAGAACAGGACAUUCGCCAUGCUGACAAGACUACAGUCUGUGGCCAUCAUUGUGUGCCUACUCUACGUGCCUCAAUUGGCAUCCGCCUACUUUAGGAGACUAGCGCCAAACAAAAGAAGCUUAACUUCAACAGACAUACAUUCAUGGACGCGAUUGGGUAUUUCAAUGCAGCCCUUAGAAACCAGAAUCGCACGUUACGAUAGUAUAGUCUUGUCCUGUCAGGUGGCUGGGAGACUAAACCCAACAAUUCACUGGUUGAAGAAAGGAGAAAGAGUGCAACAGG
rnacentral:sRNA from 1 species